GGCGAGGUGGCGCGGUAACGUAACGGGCGAGGUGGCGCGGUAACGUAACGGGCGAGGUGGCGCGGUAACGUAACGGGCGAGGUGGCGCGGUAACGUAACGGGCGAGGUGGCGCGGUAACGUAACGGGCGAGGUGGCGCGGUAACGAAACGGGCGAGGUGGCGCGGUAACGAAACGGGCGAGGUGGCGCGGUAACGAAACGGGCGAGGUGGCGCGGUAACGUAACGGGCGAGGUGGCGCGGUAACGUAACGGGCGAGGUGGCGCGGUAACGUAACGGGCGAGGUGGCGCGGUAACGUAACGGGCGAGGUGGCGCGGUAACGAAACGGGCGAGGUGGCGCGGUAACGAAACGGGCGAGGUGGCGCGGUAACGUAACGGGCGAGGUGGCGCGGUAACGUAACGGGCGAGGU